GGCAGGGGAGCCUGGGGACCCCUCUCCGGCAGGUCGGCCUUGCGAUCGUCCCUCCCCCGGGCGGGCGGGCAGUACGAUGCGGUGUCUCCCCGUCCCUCCCCCCGGGCGGGCGGGCGAUCUGCGCCGUCUCCCUCUCCCCCCCCCCCCGGCAGGCCGUGCGAGCGCGGCGGGGCGGGCACUUACCGCUCCGGCAGAUGGAGAAGCGGCGUCGUCCUCCUCCGGUGACGGCGGCCCGAUCUUGCUGCAGGUUACAGAUUCUCAAUACAGUUGGUGGACUUUUUCUGAGAAUGUCCUUCCAUUGACCAGGAGCAAACUGCAAACCUAACAAAGACCCUGGAGAGAGAGAAGAUCUGCUGUUAGCUCUAUGUUGUGAAGAUGAAUAUUCUCAAGAUUAAUGGAGUGAUAAUUCUAUUGACAUUUAUAGUUUCAUUCAUUUUUCUCUAUGUUUUGCUUUUGCUUGGUGCAAACAACAUCUAGAUUUUAGUAGAACAAACAAGCAUCUGUUCUAUAGCCUGAAUAGAGAGAAUUCAUCUUCUGGAGGUUUUUUUUUUUUUUUCUUUCUUAAAAGAUUUUCUCAGAUCCUGUCCUUUGUAUACAGUAUAAGUGGUGGAAACUGGCUGCUGAAUCCCCAAGGUCAUUAGGUGGCAGCAUUCUUAACUCUUCGCUGCCACUUAAAUGUUAUUCAAAGUGCUGCAACCAAAUCUAGUAGAGAAGGAAAAAAAAAAGGCCUGUCUAAUAACAUCCAAUCUGGAAGCCCCCUAUGGUCUUUUUCUUUCCAGCUUCUUUGCAAUAAACUCAGAACACAUGUUGAAACCCAAGAUUUGAUUAAGCAGGUAAGUUUAUAGCUAGCUAAUCUAAUGGUAGUUUUAUUUGGAAUUCUGUUUGUGCAGUUGUUGCCUUUUCUUGCGUUUCUGAAUUUCCCUUUCCCCCCCCCAACGUGUUUUUGUAUCCAGAGAUUUAGCUUAAUUCUUUUACUAAGUUCCUGAGUGCAAGAUGAGGCAGUUGGUUAGCUACCCCGUGUGUUUAAAAAUUGGAACUAAAUUGUUAAAUAUAGUACUUCUGGAUUUUAGGGCUGGAUGAUCCACAGCAUUUGCUGUUUUUCCUAGAGAUGAGGUAAAAAAAAGAAGUCCUUGGAUGGAACUCCCUAGCCAAACUAAAGAGAUUCAGGCUGAUUUCUAGCAGGCUAUCCUAACAACCUUUUGCUGGAAAAUUCCUUGAAAAAUACUGGGAUAUUUUUAAAUUAUCCCUUUUCCCAGAUCAUCCAAAUAUACAUACAUACAUACAUACAUACAUACAUACAUACAUACAUACAUAUAUUUGCAUGUCCAUCACAUAGGAAAAUUAUCCCUAUUGUUUACAGCCCCUCCAAUAUUUUGAAGAAUGAUUAUGUACGGUAGUAUAUAGGCUAAUCUAGAAGAUGUUAAAUACCACCAAUGCAACACCUUCAAUUGCCACUCUUGCUUAGAGGAAAAAAGAAAAUACUCUGACUUCCCCGCUUGCCAGUCUAAUUCAAUUAUUGGAUUUCUUAACUCUGUGUUCCAAGCAUCUUUUAAAACUGGAAAGACAAUUUCAUAAUUUGUAAUAAUAGCAUACUGUAUCAAUUUUUGACAUUAUUUCUUUUGGUUGUGUCAAAUAAUAUUAAAUUCAUAAAAAAUAGUACAGGUAGCCCUCAACUUACAGCUACAGUUGGGCCCAAAGUUCCGUUGCUAAGCAAGGCAGUUAAGUGAAUUUUGGCCCAUUUUACAACCCUUUUUGUUACAGUUGCUAAGUGAAUCGCUGCAGUUCUAAAGUAAAUUAUGAAAUCAUUCAGCUUAUCUGGCUUCCCGCCAUUAAUGUUGCCUGUCAGAAGCAGUCUAGGGGGGGUUUCAAAUGGUGAUCACAUGACCCCAAGACAGGGCAACUGUCAUAAAUACAUGCAACCUGCCAAAGGCUUUUAUUUUGAUCACAUGACCACAGGGAUGCUAUAGCAGUCGUAAAUAUGAAUCACUUUUUCAGUGCCGUUGUAACUUUGAACAGUCACUAAACAAAUGGUUGUAACUUGAAGACUCUACAUAUGGGCAGGUUCUUGACUCAAUAUUUCAGCGUUAAGCUCUUGCCAGAAAAAGCAGUAUAACUGGCAGGCAGCCCAGUGUCUAUUUCAUGGCCAAAUAUUGGUAUAAAAAUAAAUAAUCCUGUAAAAGUUAUAAUUCUUCAACAAUUUUAAUUGAUUUAACCCAUAUUAAAGUUCUGUAAAAAGUCAUUUGAAGGACUAGAGGAAAUUGCCACUCAUCAAAACUAUUUUUUUUUCAAAAUUUGAAAUAUUGUGCCAGUCAAGUAUUAUUCAUUUUGUAUAUUUUGGGGAAAUUUUUCAUCUGGAAAAAUAUAUAAUUCAAAAGAUUGCCAGCUUCUGAUAUAAUAUCUGUAUUAGCCCUCUGCUUAGUUUGGUGCUCCAUUAUAAAUGGAAUCAAAUAACUUAAUCCUGCUGGUUUAUAAUAAUUAUAUGUGAACCCCCAACUUCCCUGUGACUGAUAUAAAAUCUUUCUUUUGUUUUCUUAUAAUUGAAGCUACAGCUUUCAGUUUUCUUUGCCAUUUCAUCAGUAUUUUGUCUGGCGUUUCAAAUGAGAAGGAUCUGAAACAAAUUAAGUUUGGAAAAGACCUUCAUUUCAGUUUUAGUGAAGUUAGUAUGAUUACAAAAUAGUCUUUCAAAUGCUUUCCCAAGUUAAGUUUGUUGUAUCUAUUUGUACAAUCCAACAAUUCACUUAAAAUAAACUGAUUGUCUAUUUAAGGCAACAAUAUUCUUGAUUGCAUGACAUUCCUAAAUUUCUUGAAAAUGUAACAAUUUGUCGAUUACAAAUGCUUUCUUGAUUCCCUUAUUAGAAAAAAAAUCGCUGAUAAACUUAGAAUAAUGAACUUUCAGAGACAAGAAUCAAUUAUCAUACCUAGGCAGAUUAAAUUCCAAAACACAAAAUUGCAACAGGUGUAAUCUUGUCAAUUCUUGUUAUGUACGGAUAUGGAUAUUGGACUUUUUAAAUUAGUGGUGACUUUUACUUUUCAUUUAUUCAUAUUCUUUUUUGUAUUUGUCCUCACAGCUUCGUACAUUCUUUGUUUGCUUAAUACUUUUCUCUUUGUGUAAAUUACUAUUCAAUGUUUAAAAAUCUAAAUAAAAAACUGAAACAAGUUA